rnacentral:rRNA from 1 species
AGAACGAACGCUGGCGGCAUGCCUAAUACAUGCAAGUCGAACGAACUCUUCGGAGUUAGUGGCGCACGGGUGCGUAACGCGUGGGAAUCUGCCCCUUGGUUCGGAAUAACAGUUGGAAACGACUGCUAAUACCGGAUGACGACGAAAGUCCAAAGAUUUAUCGCCAAGGGAUGAGCCCGCGUAGGAUUAGCUAGUUGGUGAGGUAAAGGCUCACCAAGGCAACGAUCCUUAGCUGGUCUGAGAGGAUGAUCAGCCACACUGGGACUGAGACACGGCCCAGACUCCUACGGGAGCAGCAGUAGGGAUAUUGGACAAUGGG